GGACUACGGGGGUAUCUAAUCCGGUUUGCUCCCCCAGCUUUCGUCCCUCACUGUCGGACCCGUUCUGGUGAGAUGCCUUCGCUAUAGGUGGUCCCACCGGGAUUACAGGAUUUCACUCCUACCCCGGCAGUACCUCUCACCUCUCCCGGUCCCUAGAAAUGCAGUUUCCCCUGAACGCCCGCCAGUUAAGCCGGCGGAUUUCUCAAGAGACUUGCAUAUCAAGCUACGGACCCUUUAAGCCCAGUAAUAGUGGCCACCACUCGAGCCGCCGGUAUUACCGCGGCGGCUGGCACCGGUCUUGCCCGGCCCUUUCUUCACCAGUUAUUUACACUGGCGGACAGCCAGCCUAUGCUGGCACUCGGGGUUUCCUUAUCACGGUUUCCCGCAUUGUAAAGUUUUCGCGCCUGCUGCCCCCCAUAGG
rnacentral:rRNA from 1 species